rnacentral:lncRNA from 13 species
CACCUGUGUGCAAUCUAAGUGUCACAUGAUCUGUCACAUGAUCUCAGUAUAUAUACACCUGUUCUGAAUUGCCCCAGAGACUGUAACACCACCAAGCAAGCGGCACCACCAAGCAAGCGGCACCACCACCAAGCAAGCGGCACCACCACCACCACCACCACCACCACCACCACCAAGCAAGCGGCACAAUGAAGACCAAGGAGCUUUCCAAACAGGUCAGGGACAAAGUUGUGGAGAAGUAUAGAUCAGGGUUUGGUUCUAACUUUUUUACAUUUAUUUUUUACUUUGAACAUCCCACAGAGCACCAUUAAAUCCAAUAUUAAAAAAUGGAAAGAAUAUAGCACCACAACAAACCUGUUACUAGUACAAUUACUAGUCCAACGCUCUAACCACCUGCCUUACACUCCACGAUUGCACUCCACGUGGAGCCUGCGUGGCAGGCUGACUACCUGUUACGUGAGGGCAGCAAGAAGCCAAGGCAGCACACAGUCAGAUGUGGAAGUUUGGACACAUCAGAUAAAGGAGACCCUCACAGACAAGAGGACGUUGUUCUUUACAUGGCAGGAGAGAUACGUGGAAACUCUCGCAGAGCAACAGCGGGUCGCGUCUGAAAGGAAUUCCCCGUCAAUCACCUGUGAUAGGAACACUCAGUUGACUUCUCAGCUUGAAACAAUUUUGGAAAGUCUGCAGACCAAGAAGAUUCACUGUCUGCUGGCCACAAUCCAUAGGCUGGUCCUGUCGCGCUCUUUCUAUUGUGGCCUGGUCAGAAAGUAUACAGAUGAACAAACCAUUGCUGUACAGCUCUCCAGAAAAAAUCAAGCGACAAUCACGCAACAUGGAAGGAACAAGUCACCCCAAUUCCCCCCAAGACUGGAGUAAGAGGAUUUUCUCCAGCAAGAACAUCCAGUCUGGUCCCAGGUGUCAUCCAGUCCCAG